rnacentral:rRNA from 1 species
AUUGAACGCUGGCGGCAGGCCUAACACAUGCAAGUCGAGCGGAUGAAGGGAGCUUGCUCCUGGAUUCAGCGGCGGACGGGUGAGUAAUGCCUAGGAAUCUGCCUGGUAGUGGGGGAUAACGUCCGGAAACGGGCGCUAAUACCGCAUACGUCCUGAGGGAGAAAGUGGGGGAUCUUCGGACCUCACGCUAUCAGAUGAGCCUAGGUCGGAUUAGCUAGUUGGUGGGGUAAAGGCCUACCAAGGCGACGAUCCGUAACUGGUCUGAGAGGAAGAUCAGUCACACUGGAACUGAGACACGGUCCAGACUCCUACGGGAGGCAGCAGUGGGGAAUAUUGGACAAUGGGCGAAAGCCUGAUCCAGCCAUGCCGCGUGUGUGAAGAAGGUCUUCGGAUUGUAAAGCACUUCAAGUUGGGAGGAAGGGCAGUAAGUUAAUACCUUGCUGUUUUGACGUUACCAACAGAAUAAGCACCGGCUAACUUCGUG